GAUGAACGCUGGCGGCGUGCCUAAUACAUGCAAGUCGAGCGAAGCGGGGACGGGUGAGUAACCCGUGGAUAACCUCCUAUAAGACUGGGAUAACUUCGGGAAACCGUAGCUAAACCGGAUACUUAUAUCUGGAUCCGCGCUGCAUUAGCUAGUUGGUAAGGUAACGGCUUACAAAGGCAACGAUGCAUAGCCGACAGGAGAGGGUGAUCGGACACACUGGAACUGAGACACGGUCCAGACUCCGACGGGAGGCAGAAGGAGGGAAUCUUCCGCAAUGGGCGAAAGCCUGACGGAGCAACGCCGCGUGAGUGAUGAAGGUCUGCGGAUCGUAAAACUCUGUUAUGAGGGAAGCGGUACCUAAUCAGAAAGCCCCGGCUAACUACGUGCCAGCAGCCGCGGUAAUAC
rnacentral:rRNA from 1 species